rnacentral:SRP_RNA from 1 species
GCCGGGUGUGGUGGCGCGUGCUUGUAGUCUCAGCUACUCAGGAGGCUGGGAUGGGAGGAUCGCUUGAGCCCAGGAGUUCUGGGCUGUAGUGCGCUAUGCCGAUUGGGUGUCCGCACUAAUUUUGGCAUCAAUAUGGUGACCUCCCAGGAGCAGGGGACCACCAGGUUGCCUAAGGAGGAGUGAACUGGCCCAGGUUGGAAACAGAGCAGGUCAAAACUCCUGUGCUGAUCAGUAGCAGGAUCGAACCUGUGAACAGCCACUGAACUCCAGCCUGGGCAAAUAGUGAGACCCCAUCUCU